AACGAACGCUGGCGGAAUGGAUUAGGCAUGCAAGUCGAACGGUCUAGGGGCAACCCUAGAUAGUGGCGCAAGGGUGAGGAACACGUGAACAAUCUGCCCUGAAGUUGGGAAUAGCUCCGGGAAACUGGAAUUAAUACCGAAUGUGGCGAAGAAACCGCAUGGUUUUCUCGCUAAAGGCGUAAGCCGCUUCUGGAUGAGUUCGCGUCCUAUUAGCUAGUUGGUGAGGUAACGGCCCACAAGGCGAAGAUGGGUAGCUGGUCUGAGAGGACGACCAGCCACAUUGGGACUGAGACACUGCCCAGACUCCUACGGGAGGCUGCAGUCGAGAAUCUUGGGCAAUGGGCGAAAGCCUGACCCAGCAAUUCCGCGUGCGGGAUGAAGGUCUUCGGAUUGUAAACCGCUGUCACUGGGACGAAUUUUGACGGUACCUGGAGAGGAAGACACGGCUAACUACGUG
rnacentral:rRNA from 1 species